rfam:Gossypium hirsutum cultivar TM-1 unplaced genomic scaffold scaffold3429.1, whole genome shotgun sequence
AUCCUGUGGUGAGGGCAUGUACGAAGUAACUACUUGAAUCUUUCCCAUACCUCAUAUAAGGAUUCAUCAUCCAUCUGCAAGAAAAUGGUGAUCUCAUUUCACAACUU